GACGCCGCCAUGGCCUUUUCUGUACUGAUAACAUCCUCAUAAAUCUCCUUUGCACACUCUGAACUGCACUUACCUGUGAUGUACUGACCAGAAGGGUGAUAAAGGAAAGCACAGGCAAAUAAUGAAUAAUGAAAAAGCAUAUCGUCGUCUGAAGUGACUGUCCCUCGAGGUCGAGGAUGAUGGUCUUCGUUCUGAAGAAGUGGCCCACAGAGUGAAGACACCUGUGCGUGUAUCUGUUUAACAUGUACUUGAUGUUGCACUCCAAGAAGCACACGAUACUUCACAAAUCAACCAAAUGAUUCCAAUGGCAUGGCAACCACGACGAUUGGAGCUGAUGGAUUUGUUGCAGCCUUCAUCCGCCUUCACAGCCGUUGAUUUCGAAGUAACUUCGUUUGCCUGUUCCACCAUUGAGGUCUUGGUUGGAUUGUUCUUUGUCAGGAACCUCACCCUCCACCUUACCGCCAUGGGUGACCCUACCAGGAGCAUGGCUCCAGACAGCAUCGCUCUCGGGAUCAUAGGACCACACAAGCUUCUCCACCGCGACAAGGUGACAAUCCAUGGAGAAGAGAAAAGCAUGUAUGUUAUGAAAGGAAGAUCUUUUGAUUAAAUUAUGGAAAUUAGGAGUGAGAGGAAGGCUAUACCAUUUUUUUCCCCCCUGAGUUUAUUUGGACGGUCUA